rnacentral:RNase_P_RNA from 1 species
UGAGGCAGAUCAAUGAUCGCGUGCCAUAAGGCAUGAGGAAAGUCCGAGCACCGCAGGGCAGGGUGCCAGCUAACAGCUGGUGGAGGCGACUCCAAGGCAAGUGCAACAGAGAGAUACCGCCGCGCAAGCGGUAAGGGUGGAAAGGUGCGGUAAGAGCGCACCGGCGGCCUGGCGACUGGCCCGUCAUGUAAACCCCACUUGGUGCAAGAUAACUGGAGGCAUAUCAAACGGCCCGUUUGGCUUCCGACCUUCGCUUCAGCAGCCUGGUGACUGGCUGCGCAGAUAGAUGAUCAUUCACGACAGAACUCGGCUUACAGUCUGCGCUCAAUCC